rnacentral:rRNA from 1 species
GACGAACGCUGGCGGCGUGCCUAAUACAUGCAAGUCGAACGAAGCUGUUUUAACUGGUGCUUGCACCGACUUAACAACUGAGUGGCGAACGGGUGAGUAACACGUGGGUAACCUGCCCCAAAGCGGGGGAUAACAUUUGGAAACAGAUGCUAAUACCGCAUAACCACAGAAACCACAUGGUUUCUGUGUCAAAGAUGGUUUCGGCUAUCACUUUGGGAUGGACCCGCGGCGUAUUAGCUAGUUGGUAAGGUAAUGGCUUACCAAGGCAAUGAUACGUAGCCGAACUGAGAGGUUGAUCGGCCACAUUGGAACUGAGACACGGCCCAAACUCCUACGGGAGGCAGCAGUAGGGAAUCUUCCACAAUGGACGAAAGUCUGAUGGAGCAACGCCGCGUGAGUGAAGAAGGUUUUCGGAUCGUAAAACUCUGUUGUCAGAGAAGAACGUGUGCGAGAGUAACUGUUCGUGCAGUGACGGUAUCUGGCCAGAAAGCCACGGCUAACUACGUGCCAGCCGCCGCGGUAA